AAAGUACUACCUCCGUUUCAUAAUUCUUGUCGAAAUCUUACAUGUAUUUAGAUACUUUUUAGAAAUAGAUACAUUCAUUUUUGGACAAUUUGAGACAAGAAUUAUGAAACGGAGGAAGUAAUAA
rnacentral:pre_miRNA from 1 species